UGUAGAGAACUAUCUCUGUGUCUACUUCAAAGGCAGGUGAUACCAGACUCAGGAAUAUUUGAAAACCUAUUCUCAUAAAUUUAUUCUCAAAGGUGUGUGGGUUCUGAGCUACCACAACGCUGAGAUGGUUUCCCCUGCGCAGCAAUUUCUGAGCAUUAUUCUCAAUGCCUCACUUGGCUGACUGGAGGUCCGCGAUGCACAUAAAUAGAAACACUGCAAGUGAAGAAGUUUCUGCUGCUUUUUGAUGAGUUUCCUGCGGAUGGCUACCACAUGCUCAGGCACCAAUCAGCACUUUGAAAGUUGACCGAACAGCAAACUCUGGAGCUGGCAGCAGUUUCUGGUGGGAUUCUCUCUUUUCUGCUCUGCUUAUGAUCGGGGGGCUUUUGCCCAGAAUGAUUUGUUUUUUUCACUGAUAAAAAUA